rnacentral:rRNA from 1 species
GCAAGUCGAACGCCCACUUCGGAGGGAGUGGCAGACGGGUGCGUAACGCGGGGGAACCUACCGUUAGGUACGGAACAACAGUUGGAAACGACUGCUAAUACCGUAUACGUCCUUCGUGAGAAAGAUUUAUCGCCGAUAGAGGGGCCCGCGUUGGAUUAGCUUGUUGGUGAGGUAACGGCUCACCAAGGCGACGAUCCGUAGCUGGUCUGAGAGGAUGAUC